CGAUCGUUACUUUUGAACAGAUCCUUUCUGCCAUGGAGCUACCCGCCUGGUCCCGGACGCUUGUGGAAGCGCAGAUACCUGCCUCGUGGAUCCGCAACAUCUGUCCACAGUGAGGACGGUCGAGAAUGCAGCAGAGCCCCGGACGGCUUUCUCUGGUUUCUGGCGGCUCCUUUUCUAAAACAGAGAAGAGGUUUUGGUGGGGGGGCCUCCCGGUGCGCAACUAAAUCGGAUCCCACUCCACGCCACGCCGGGAUCGGUGUUUUUUUUUUUUUUUUUUGGCACAGCACUGUGAAAGAUGAGAAGCUCUGCUCCUUCCGACCUCAGAAAUCACUGAAGUUGUACAAGUUUUCUAACAAUCCACCACGAAGGUUUGAAGCCCCGCUGCGAGCCAUCAGGCCUCUGGAAAGUUUGCAUACAACAGCACAAUGGCUUCUGCACAGUGGAGGGGUCCAGUGUUUGGCUGCCUCCUGUUCCUUCUUCUUUGCUUUCAGUGUUCACAAGGUAAGUUGCCAUGGAUUCCUCUUGCAAAUCUCUUCCCAGAAUGUGCUGGAUUUAUGAACGUACUAUGUUGUGGUUACUUUCGAAAUGUCAGAGACUCACACGCACUAACGAAAACCAGAUUUUCUUCUGUGUCUUACCCUUGAACUUCAAAAAGGUGUUUCAAAUUCUUUUUAAAAAACUCAAGUCCGAGUGUCACAGCGACUUUGGGCAGUGAAGUACAAUUUAAAGUCUGACUCGUGACUUUAUUUGAAUUUUUUUUUUUUUUUAAAUUGGCACAGCCUUGAUUUGCAUUUCAAACAGAUUGUUCUGAUGGUCAGCGUACUUUAAACCAUCAAAAGCAACAGUGAAGGAUGUAAAAAUUCUCCUGCUCGGUUAUAAAAAGUUUGGAAUGACCUGUUUUCCUCCAAGUCUGAUUGGUGCACUCAGCUCUAAGUGAGUCUUGUGACAGAACGCUGUCAGUUAAAUGUCAAGUAAAGCCUCUGAUGUUAGUGUCUCCACUGAUAAUGAUCAUUUUCCGUUUUUUUCCUCAUUUUACUGCCAAACACAGUAAACUAGUGUCACGCCUGUGUGCGAAGCAUUUGUUACAGUUAAAGAAGUAAAAAAAUGUAUUCAAUUUUACUUGGAUUUGACUUUUCCCCCCACUUUUUCUAAAU
rnacentral:lncRNA from 1 species